CCAUAAAUAAAUAAUUAAAAUUACUUUUCCAUAAACUAUUUCUUUUACAUUGAAUGUACAAUCUGGAGAACAGAAAAGUUUAAAAAUAACAGAAAAAUAAUAUGAAUUCAGAGAAAAAGUUUGUAAGACAAAUAAAAAGACUUCUUCUUUAUUUUCAUCUUCAAUCUUCCUUGAUGUAUAAAGCUCAUGAAGCUGAAUCGAUUUAGUAGUGAAAAAUUCUCCUUCAGUUUUCUUUUAUAAACUCCCACUCUUCCAGAUUUAAAGAGAUUCUUCAUGUCCCAUCGAAGAAAAUGAAUUCUAACAACAACAAAAUUAUUGUUAAACCUUACACAGAAAAAAAUAAAUUACAGUUUUCCAAGAAAAAAAAAUAGAAGAGGAACAAAAAAAACAUUACCUUUCCAGAAUUUCUCAUCAGAUUCGUUCAGAGUAGAAGACCUUAGGUUACUUUCAAAUCAUGCAAGCAGAGAUACAAUCACCGUCAUCAUGAUUCAUAAGAAAAACGCUUGAUUCUUGUUGGUUUUUCCCAUAAGUCAAAUAGCGUAGAACAACACAGUUUUAAACUGAUAAAAGUUGAAGAAACAGAGAGGAAGAAGACCAUAAAAAC
rnacentral:lncRNA from 1 species